CAAAGUCAUCUUACAGUAUUUGUGUCUCAAUCGUACCUCUUUGAAGCUAUAUUUCUUUGUAUGUUGGUGAAAUGAAAUUUUUUACACUAUUUAUUUUUGGUGCUAUCCUCGGAUUGUGUGUAACUGAGUCUCCUCAAAUAGAUACAAGAUACGCAUGUGAAGGAAGAACAUUAAACAUUGAAUGUAACAACGGCUCCGUUAUACGGCUUAUUCGAGCAAGCUAUGGACGAUUUUUGAUAACAAUUUGCAAUAAAAACGGGAACACUAAUUGGAAUACCAACUGCUUCUCAACCCAAACUAUGCGCGUUGCACAUAAUAGGUGUCACAUGCAACAGUCUUGUACUUUACUAGCGAAUGCUGAUGAAUUCGGGGAUCCCUGUCCAGGCACGGGCAAAUAUUUAGAAAUUCAUUAUCAAUGUGUACCAGCUCCAACUACUACUACUACGGAGCCUUCGGCACCAC